AGUACUUGGAACCUACACACGGUUAAUGUCUUUGUUUAGUUUUGAGUGAGUUUCAAUAGGAAGUCUACUCAAUCGAUCAUUGAAAACUGAAUACACCAAACAAGAUUGAUCAUAUUCUCGAUGCGAGGUAUGACAAUCACAUUAUUUCUUAAAUAAAAGAUAUAAUGAACCGAGAAAUUGACCGAGUCUAUGAGUAACAUCAUAGAGUUAAAAAAUAAGCGAAAAUAUUGUGG
rnacentral:misc_RNA from 1 species